rnacentral:rRNA from 1 species
AUUGAACGCUGGCGGCGUGCUUAACACAUGCAAGUCGAUCGGUAACGCGGGGGCAACCCUGGCGACGAGAGGCGGACGGGUGAGGAACGCUUGGGAAUCUGCCUAUCAGCGGGGGACAACACGGGGAAACUCGUGCUAAUACCGCAUACGCUCUACGGAGGAAGGCCGGGGACCGCAAGGCCUGGCACUGAUAGAUGAGCCCAAGCCGGAUUAGCUAGUUGGCGGGGUAACGGCCCACCAAGGCGACGAUCCGUAGCUGGUCUGAGAGGACGAUCAGCCACACUGGAACUGAGACACGGUCCAGACUCCAACGGGAGGCAGCAGUGGGGAAUAUUGGACAAUGGGGGAAACCCUGAUCCAGCGACGCCGCGUGGGUGAAGAAGGCCUGCGGGUUGUAAAGCCCUUUCGGUAGGGACGAAAGCUCUCGACCUAACACGUCGGGAGGUUGACUUAACCUACAAAAGAAGCACCGGCUAACUCUGUGCCAGCAGCCGCCGUAAGAC